rnacentral:rRNA from 1 species
AGUGAACGCUGGCGGUAGGCCUAACACAUGCAAGUCGAACGGCAGCACAGGAGAGCUUGCUCUCUGGGUGGCGAGUGGCGGACGGGUGAGGAAUACAUCGGAAUCUACUUUUUCGUGGGGGAUAACGUAGGGAAACUUACGCUAAUACCGCAUACGACAUACGAGUGAAAGCAGGGGACCUUCGGGCCUUGUGCGAUUGAAUGAGCCGAUGUCGGAUUAGCUAGUUGGCGGGGUAAAGGCCCACCAAGGCGACGAGCCGUAGCUGGUCUGAGAGGAUGAUCAGCCACACUGGAACUGAGACACGGUCCAGACUCCUACGGGAGGCAGCAGUGGGGAAUAUUGGACAAUGGGCGCAAGCCUGAUCCAGCCAUACCGCGUGGGUGAAGAAGGCCUUCGGGUUGUAAAGCCCUUUUGUUGGGAAAGAAAUCCAGCUGGCUAAUACCCGGUUGGGAUGACGGUACCCAAAGAAUAAGCACCGGCUAACUUCGUGCCAGCCGCCGCAGUAA